GAAGAAAGUUCUAGAACCCACUAGGAUAUCCCCCAGCAUCUAGGUUCUGGUAAGUCGGUGCCACAUUCGCUGCCAAAAUGUACACACAUAGAUGCCAUUCUCAUGUUUCAUUGAACUCAUGGUAACAAUUCUGAUCUGCCACUUAGGGUUGUUGCAAAAAUUGCUGGAGGAAAUGUAUGUGAGGUGCUUGGACACUCAGAGGUGUGUUAUACUAAUACUAGAUAUUAGAAGCUGGUGGAACAGCUUUAGUAAAUUACAUUGCCCAGAGCUAGUCAGUCUUUCAGAAUUUCAAAACUGGUCCAACAGAAGAUGUCAUGACAGCUUCAUUGCUUCCUUGGGUCCUUGGGCCCAACAACACAACAAUUCAGUUUUGUUUUUGCUUGAAGCUAAAUACAGUGAAACUCAAUAACUCGCACAAUGGCAACAACAGUGGUUCAUGUUGUCUCUAAUAUUCUCUUGGAACGUUGCACUACCAAAAUGUAAUGAAAUCUUUCAAUUUUCUUCCCAGGUUGCUUUAAAUCUAGCAUAUAUGUUAUUGCCAAAAUUUGGAGAAACUUAACAUUUCCCAUUCUCUCUCUCUAUUAACAAUCACACAUGCAUGCCAACAUUUACCAGAAUUUGGACGGGUGUAGCAUGCAUAAUAUAUGUAGGCAACACAAAUAAAGGUAGAGAGAUCUGAGAAACUCAGCUGCCCUGCUGCUACCUGGCUUCUCCUGCUCCAUAAAUUUUGUCAGCACAGAAACUUCAUGUGGAGUCAUUUUGUAUCAAUGCAAAGCAACGACAGUUUUUCACUUGCUUUUAACACUGAUGCUGAACUAGUGUAAGUGUCACUAUUUAAGAUGUAAGGCUAUGGAGUAGCGCGGAACUAGGUCAGCUAAAAGAGGGUGGUUUUCCCCAAGGUGAACAGCGACACCAGGUCAAGGAACACUGCAGUAUAUUAUCAUGAGGCUGGAGAAUGGAGGCAAGAGGUUCGUUUGGUGGUGAGAAGACCUCUUGACCCACAAACAGGGGAGAUGUGCAGAGAGAACUCCUGGCAGGAGCUCUAUGGGGAAAGGCUGUUUUACAAUCACUGGGCCAUUUUGCCAGUGGAAACUCCUGAGGCCACAGCUAGGUGUGUCCUCUGCACUGGGUUCCCAGUAUUCAUAUUCAGGGAGGGAAGUCACUCUGGAGUUUCCUCCUACAGGGAGGAAUGGAAUUAGAAUGGAAUUUGUUCCACUUGAUGAAGGAAGGACAAACUGCAGCAUUAGCCCUGCUUACUUAGCAAAGCGCUUCUACGUGCCUGCCUUCUUGCCGGAUGCUCAGCGGAGCACAGAAGUCCCUUGAUCUCAAGGGCAAACAGCAGCUCGACUGUUGCUUAAAUAAGGGAAAUAGAAUCAUCACAGAAAAUUCAGCAUACCUCCAGGUCCGUUUCCUCACUUGCCUUACUUUGAGUCCCUAAGAUAUCUACUUGCCCACCUCCUGGGACCAAGACCCUUCUUUUUCAAGAUAUCCAGAUAUUCUGACAGCAAGCCACAGGUACCUCCUAGUAGAAGAGCGAAGGGCAACCUUUUGGAGCUGAAUCUCCCUCUGGCUGGCAAUAAGCAGUGGCCACCCAAGCCAUCUGAUUAUGGUUUCCUUCCAAGAGCACAUCUGAGACUCUGAGAGCCUAGUGAGGAGAGGGCUGAGCAUGAAGAGCACCCAUACAGAUCAAGACCCAAGAGCAACUUUGGGCAUUUAACAGAAGCGGGGAAGGAAAGGAAGUGUGACUGACUUGCGCUCCUGCUUUAUGCACUUCUCCCCCCCCCCCAAGGUGACAUGUGUGGUCAUACAUCUCACCCUAGUGGAGCUAUGUAAGUUCCACCUGCCAGUGUUACACAGGAAAUACAAAAUGAAGGGCAAGUCAUUUGGGUGUCCUUUCUGUGCGCAAUUCCCCCUCCACAGCGUGCACACACAUUAGAGGUACUAAUAAGGAAAGCUAACACAGGUCAAAUUCCUUCACUUUUUCAGCAACAGCUUGUAAAGGAUCGGCUACUGCUGAGGAGAAACACACUCCCUUUCGACAGAAGAGCAUCAUUGUGCCAGGAGCCUUGCAUUGGAGGCAAGGGGGAGGACCCUUCGGUAGCCCUGCAACACACGCAUUUGGACACUGAGAUUUUGUAGAGAAAGUUAGCUAUGCGUACACUUUUAGAACACAUUCUCCCCCUCAAAAAAUUACCCCUCGCAGAGUUGCGAUCCCCAGCAACCCUUAACAAACUACAGAGCCCAGGAGUCUUUGAGGGGAUGUGCGCUGAAUGCACUUUAAAAGUAUAGUGUGCACACAGCCUUAGGCAAAGGAUGAGAGAAUGAAAGAUACAGGUCCAUGCAUCUGGAAAGAAAGAAAGAAAGAAAGAAAGAAAGAAAGGGGGCAAGUGAUCUGAUUGCUAUGAGGGGAACUAUGCACACACAGACUUCCUGAUGCUCACUGUAAAAAAUAUCCCUCCUUUUCCAAUGUCCCCCGCCUUCCCCUUAGAGAGAGCUUCUACUCCAUUACUAGGGAAGGUUUGCUUCAGAGCCAUGAUCUAAUCUAACUAACUGCAUGAUCUAACACAGAAGUGAAAGAAAUACAAAUUAUUUACAGAGCUAUUUCAUGUGACGAAAGCUCCCGUUGGAAAAACUCCCUUUGCCUCGCCACAGGGAUACACUGCUUUCCCAAGAUGGGUUGCAGAUCAGAAGCAGGAUUGCAGGGGGAAAGGGGAGCGGGGGGGGGGGGGCUGAACAGAGUCUCUUCACGUGUGGGUAGAAUAUGCCAUAACUACAACAGGGAAACGGUUCGGCAGGGCUGUAUUUCUCCUCAGGCACACGCAAGGAAGGGAAGGAAGGAGCAGAAGCAAGCAUAGCCCCCUCCAACGCCUGCACUUGUUCCGCCAGCAACUCUUCGGCAGAGCUGACGACCCCCACCGCCUUCCUCGCUCGCUUCCUCGCAGGCUAGCCUGGCUCUCUCUCUCUGGGAUGACGACAGACAGCCAUCGCCGGGUUAUUGCAGGAGGCUUUAGGGGGCUGUUGGCAAUGGUGAGCGAAGGUGAUUCUUUGGCUUGUCUGCAGAAGCCAAUGUGGCUUCCUAAUGCACCAAGUUCCUGUUCCACCACCACCCAUCUCUCUCUCACAAACACAUACACGCACACUUCACUCUCUCGAUCAGCUCUUCCUGGGUAUUAUGAUGUUUGUAAUCAGAGCCCUUUUCUUUUAUGGCACCAUCGCAGGGUGGAGACUGCUAGGCUAGACGGCCAGAGCCCAGGCAACCUCUUGAGAGCCUAAGGUUCGUCGGGGUGAAAUGCGCGGGGCCAAGCGAGCCUCAGCCUCUCCGCCAGGGGAGUGGAGGCUGAAUCCUGUGACUACAUGUAGACGACCGGUGUCAACCUCCUCCUACCACCCCACACGGGGACCACCCCCUCCAUGGGAGCCACUACGGAUUGAACACCCAAGUCAACCUCUCCCCAGUCGGACGAGGGGUUUCUGCGCUGAUAGCAUUCGCCAAGACCAGAGUUUGGCCUCCUCACCAUCUCCUUGGAUAAGUGUGUGUGUAUGUGCAUGUGUGUGAGAGAAAGAGAGACUCGGACACACCUGGAUCAGAACGCCCGCUCGGAUUCCAGAGGAUCGACUCCGGAUCUACGCCGCCACUGGGCGCGAAAUCCGGAUCGAAAGUUCGCAGUCGGUUAGCGCCCUCCUCUUUCCCACCUAGUCCGUCUCCCUCCAGCCUUGACUUUCUUAUCCGCUUCCCGCACCCAAAACCAGAGCAUCCGAGACACGAGAGCGACACGGCAGCGGCUUCAUCCCCGCGCGAACCCCCUUCCUCGCUUCUGCCUCUCCCGGAACAGGAGAGCGCGCGCGGGCGAAACCCACCCAGAGAGGGUGUCCGUCAAAUCAAACCUUCCUCCCCGUUGGCCCCUGAGAAGCACCCCCCCACACCUGCCAUCCCCCUCCAAUGCCCCCGCCACGGGUAAAGGACAAGGAGCUCAACUUACCCUUGGAUCUCUCCUCUCCUCUUAGCUGCUGCUCCCUGCCAUCGAGGCACGCACAUCUGGCUCAGACGGAUCCCUGGAGUUGGCAGACACAAGGAGGCUGGCGGCGGCAAGUGGGGGGCGGUGCGGUUCUGGGGCCCAGACGAAGCUCGGGAGCUUGCCCAGACUCCCCCACCCGGACGGAGAGGAUGGCAGGAGAGGGCUCUGCCUCCGAGGCUCCCUCCUUCCUCGUUCCCUGCGCGCGCUCUCGCUCUCUCCUUUCCAGCUAGUUGUUGGGGAAGCGGCGGGGAGAAAGAUCCUCUUUCCUUUCCCCCUCUUACAUCUUAUUUGCGAUCUCUCUCUCCUUUCCUCUCCGCCGCCGCCGCCACCACCGUGUACACCUCCCUCCUCCUCCUCCUCCGCCUCCUCUCCCUCUAGACUCCCUCCCUCCCUCCUUCCCUCUAGCUGGAGUCUUGUCACUGCAAUGUGCCACCCACCUGAAUCAGCUCCUGCCUGCUUUGCCACUUAACUCCUGAGGCACCAGCCGGCUCGCUGUGGUAAACAACCCGGGAGAGGGACCCUGCCUGCGUGGCAAGAGGCAGCGGUGAUGGUGGGGACGCCCUAGCAGAGCAGGCUGCUGGCAGCCAGAGCCCAGGCUUCAGGAGAGCAGCUGUCUCCAGGCAAAGGCUGCCAUCUCUGGGCGUUCGGGUGGAAGUUGCCAGAGAUCGUGCCCAGGCGUGCGCCGCCGUAGAGUAAGAGAGCCCACAAGUACCCCAGCGGGGAGGAGAUCAAGGCAGGAGAGCCAGAACUUGCUUUUAUUUAUUACUUUUGUAUGCCGCCUUUCACCAACAAAGGAGCCCAGGGCGGCAGAUGUGGAAACGUUAAAACAAGG
rnacentral:lncRNA from 1 species